rnacentral:rRNA from 1 species
UGGGGAAUUUUCCGCAAUGGGCGAAAGCCUGACGGAGCAAUACCGCGUGAGGGAGGAAGGCUCUUGGGUUGUAAACCUCUUUUCUCAGGGAAGAAUCCUGACGGUACCUGAGGAAUCAGCAUCGGCUAACUCCGUGCCAGCAGCCGCGGUAAUACGGAGGGUCCAAGCGUUGUCCGGAAUCACUGGGUGUAAAGGGUGUGCAGGCGGACUGUCAAGUCAGUGGUGAAAGCCCGCAGCUCAACUGCGGAAGUGCCAUUGAAACUGGCAGUCUUGAGUCCCGGAGGGGCUAUCGGAAUUCGUGGUGUAGCGGUGAAAUGCGUAGAUAUCACGAGGAACACCAGAAGCGUAAGCGGAUAGCCGGACGGUGACUGACGCUCAGGCACGAAAGCGUGGGGAGCAAACAGGAUUAGAUACCCCUGUAGUCC